AUGCUGCAAUUUGGACUUCACAUGGUAAAAGAAAAAUAUGGGCAUAAGAACAGGGCAAGGAAAUUAAAUCAGAAGAUGAUGAAGAGCUGCGGUAGAGUUUCACGACAGGAAAAUAAACCAAAAGCAGGUUUAAUAUUAAUCCAGUUCAGAAAAUACAUACACGUUAUCAAUCAGAUUCAGAUUUCAGAACCUAUAACAGGAAAAACUAACUAG